rnacentral:snRNA from 3 species
AUCCCUUCUAGGUCUUUUGGUUAAGACCAAGUGUAGGAUCUGUUUUUAUCAGUUUAAUAUCUGGUAUGUCCUUUAUCCCAGGACAAUAUAUGAAGUGGAUUUUUGGAGCAGGGAGAUGGUUGAAAAUAAUACACCAUGCUUAACUUUGACCAUUUGCUCCUGCUAAUCAGAUGUUCUGCAUAAAACUGGCAAUUGGGUAAUGAUUUU